rnacentral:rRNA from 1 species
UCCUUAAGGGGGAUAUGGUCGUUUAGGCAGUAUGAUAAUGCGGCCACCACAUGGUAUGGGUAUCUGCAGAAUUCGGCUGUCCGCCUGCUGCCGGUUCAGCUACGUUCAACAAGCUCCUUCUUCGCCUUGCUCACGGGGUAAUCUUUGAAACUACUUCGAAAUCGCGAUCGAUUAUUGCAAUUAUUAGUCUUCAACGAGGAAUGCCUAGUAAGCGCGACAAUCCAGCUCGCGUAGAUGCCGUGCCUACCCUGGGUACACACCGCUUUAAUCGGCUCCCUAAAGGGUGUGCUGGUGAAGUGUCCGGGGUGGCCACAGCUGGCGGCAACAUUGGCUGUGGCUGCAAAGUUCCCUGAAGCCUCCCACCUAGAGGAAGGAGAAGUCGUAACAAGGUUUUCGUAGGUGAACCUGCAGAAGGAUCA